GGUACGGUGACUGAGUAGUUAAAGUGUUAGUUUCGAAAACUAAUGGGAAUUAUCCCGCAUAGGUGCAAAUCCUAUCCGUAUCA